GCACCGGAAUCCGGUCAACCCGACCUUUCUCCGGCAUCCGGAGCACCGAUUGACCACGCGCCUAUUCGGCGAUUCGUCCGAUCUCGCGAUCUCCGACGCCGUCGUCUUCCGGAAGGUCUCGACCGGGGCCUCGAAGCUGAAGGAUGAGGUAGAUCUCGGACUUUUCUCUGCAGAAAACUUCAAAAUCGCCGCGGACGAAGACGACGAUGAGGUGGUGGCGGCGGCCGAUGCGGCGUUGAAGCACUUCUGGCACAUGUUGUUGGUGGAGGGAUUACCGGUGACGCCGCAGUUGUUGACGCAGUGCGUUAGAGUUUCGGGGACCUUGAACUCCGUCUCUUCCUUCUCCGCUCUCUGUGCCAU
rnacentral:lncRNA from 1 species